UGGGGAAUAUUGCACAAUGGGCGCAAGCCUGAUGCAGCCAUGCCGCGUGUGUGAAGAAGGCCUUCGGGUUGUAAAGCACUUUCAGCGGGGAGGAAGGCGAUAAGGUUAAUAACCUUGUCGAUUGACGUUACCCGCAGAAGAAGCACCGGCUAACUCCGUGCCAGCAGCCGCGGUAAUACGGAGGGUGCAAGCGUUAAUCGGAAUUACUGGGCGUAAAGCGCACGCAGGCGGUCUGUCAAGUCGGAUGUGAAAUCCCCGGGCUCAACCUGGGAACUGCAUUCGAAACUGGCAGGCUAGAGUCUUGUAGAGGGGGGUAGAAUUCCAGGUGUAGCGGAGAAAUGCGUAGAGAUCUGGAGGAAUACCGGUGGCGAAGGCGGCCCCCUGGACAAAGACUGACGCUCAGGUGCGAAAGCGUGGGGAGCAAACAGG
rnacentral:rRNA from 1 species